GACACAGUUCACUGUAAUUCUGCUAAAACUGCAAAAUGAUAAAACUACACCUGGGCUUGUUUGGCAAUCGAUCUCCGGCUGUGAACGUUAUGACAGUCGACGUGUUACUGAUUGUCCUGUUUGUAUCAGGUGCUUUGGCUGGUUGUAC